UUCUAACAGGUUAUGACUGCAGUCUUUGACUUCUGUUGAGUUUCUAUAUCUACAUUGCAUUGAAGGGUUGUGUUCCAGCUAAGUGAGCCAUGGACAAAAGAGUGCUGGUGCUCCUCUUGUGCAUGCAGGCCUUCCUACUCCUCACUGCGGUGAAUUUGUCUGAUGCCGCCAUUAAGUCAGUGGGCAGUCAGCGACGUUAUCAGGGAACAGCUGCCAAAACCAAACCAAAUAAAGUACUCAAACACAUGAUGUUUUUGAGACAUGGUGCAGAAUCACCUUUGAAGGCUGGAAUCUAAACAUCAAAGUGAGAAAGGACUGGAUGAGAUGCAAGAAAAAUUGCACAUGCUUUUCUGCUCCGCUGUCUGAAGCCUUCAAUGAUGGUGCUGUCAUUUAAUGGAGGAUUGGAAGUUCUCAAAUAUUUUAUCCUGUGAAAUGUAAUUACAUGUGUGAUGCACUGCUGAUUAAACAUGUGGAAAAUGUGCUCACUUCAACCGUACCCCCCCCCCCCUUUUUUUUUUCAAUAGUCCCCCCACAUACACACACACACCCCUAUUAUACACAUAUUAAACAUAUAUAUAUAUAUAUACAUAUAUGUGCAUACACUACCAUUCAAAACUAUGUACACUACGGUUCAAAAUUUUGGGGUCGCUUACACCCCAAACUUUUGAACGGUAAUGUAUAUUUUUUAGGGCUGUCAAACGAUUCAAAUUUUAAAUCGAGUUAAUCACAGCUUAAAAAUUAAUUAAUCGUAAUUAAUCGCAAUCCAAACCAUCUAUAAAAUGACAUAUUUUUCUGUAAGUUAUUGUUAGAAUGGAAAGAGAAGACUGAUAUAUACAUUCAACAUACUGUACAUAAGUACUGUAUUUGUUUAUUAUGACAAUAAAUCCACAAGAUGGCAUUAACAUUUUUAACACUGUUAAAGCGAUCCAUGGAUAGAAAGACUUGUUCUUAAAAGAUAAAUGUUAGUACAAGUUAUAGAAAUUGUAUAUCAAAACCCCUCUUAAUGUUUUCGUUUUAAUAAAAUUUGUAAAAUUUUCAAUCAAAAAAUAAACUAGUAGCUCACCAUUGUUGAUGCCAAUAAUUACACAAUGGUCAUGGUGCUGAAACCCAUAAAAUCGGUCGCACCCAAGCGCCAGCAGAGGGUGACAAAACAUAAAAAAACACAUGUAACAAGUGGACAUGACACUGUUCUGUCAUUUUAAUCUGUUUGAGCUGGGCAUGUGCGUUAAAUGCGUCAAAUAUUUUAACGUGAUUAAUUUAAAAAAUUAAUUACCGCCCGUUAACGCGAUAAAUUUGACAGCCCUAGUAUAUUUAACCAUUUCACCAUUCUCCAAAAAUCCAGGUUUCUUAUUUGCACACUUGCAAAUUUCUUCAGCCCUUUAUAAUUGAGAGAAUAAUGUUAAAAUGCAGAAGAUGGCACCUCUUACAAGAGCUGGAAUUUUGUAACGUCAGUUAUACCCACGCACAUACACACUGAUUGACUCAAGCACAGUACUGACAUUGAAAAAAAUGUCUGCUCCAUGACAGGCCAACUUCUUGGAAAUAGUGGCUUUAAUUUACGUUUACGUUCACCUCUGCUACAUAUCAGAAAAAUCAAAUUCUGUGAUUUGUGACAUAUUAAACAAGGUUCUUUGGAUGUACACUAUAAAGGAGUUUUCUUUCCCUUUCAUUUCAUUUCAAAAAAUUCGAAGCUGUGUUCAUGCUAAAACUGUGGUUUAUGAAAAAUAAAAUAACUAAA